rnacentral:rRNA from 1 species
GACGAACGCUGGCGGCGUGCUUAACACAUGCAAGUCGAGCGGUAAGGCCCUUUCGGGGGUACACGAGCGGCGAACGGGUGAGUAACACGUGGGUGACCUGCCCUCAGCUCUGGGAUAAGCCUGGGAAACCGGGUCUAAUACUGGAUAUGACUCCAUGACGCAUGUUGUGGGGUGGAAAGCCUUGUGCGGCUGAGGAUGGGCCCGCGGCCUAUCAGUCUUGGUUGGGUGGGGUGANCGGCCCUACCAAGGCGACGGACGGGUAGCCGGCCUGAGAGGGCGACCGGCCACACGUGGGACUGAGACACCGGCCCAGACUCCGUACGGGAGGCAGCAGGUAGGGGAAUUCUUGCGCAAGUGGGACGAAAGCCUGACGCAGCGACGCC